rnacentral:rRNA from 1 species
GAGUUUGAUCGUGGCUCAGAUUGAACGCUGGCGGCAUGCCUUACACAUGCAAGUCGAACGGCAGCAUGAUCUAGCUUGCUAGAUUGAUGGCGAGUGGCGAAACGGGUGAGUAAUACAUCGGAACGUGCCCUGUAAGUGGGGGAUAACUAGUCGAAAGAUUAGCUAAUACCGCAUACGACCUGAGGGUGAAAGUGGGGGACCGCAAGGCCUCAUGCUAUAGGAGCGGCCGAUGUCUGAUUAGCUAGUUGGUGGGUAAAGGCCCGACCAAGGCGACGAUCAGUAGCUGGUCUGAGAGGACGAUCAGCCACACCUGGGACUGAGACACGG